GUAAGGUAAACGCAGCUAUUAACGACCCAUCGAAAAUCUGCAGUUAUUACCGACCUAUAAAAGUUUUUCGAAAUCUUUACGUUUCCAGAACUAUUCUAGCAUAGGUAGGCAAAGUUACAGACGCGUUUAUUCCUUGAGCAUCGUAUACUUUUACGUUACUGUGAGUAGCUGUGCAGAAAAUAGAUAAAAUACGUCAUUUAUUACGGGGCAGCGUGGACGCAGGACAUGGCGUACUGUUCCCUUGUUCCUUCAAAAGUAUGGAGCCACAAAAGCAGCAAAGUGUCGCGUGCUUUGUAACAGUGAGUUAGAAAAUGAAUCUACAAAAGGGCAUGAACAUUCUAAUAGUACCUACUUUAAUUAAUGAUAGAGAUUCUUUUGAAACAGAAACUACCGUACGUCUGUUAGAGUCAGACUCUGCAUGAGAGCUUGCAGAGUCACAACACAUUUUAAAGUUUAUAAUUAUUUAGCUCAUAAGUUCGUUACUAAGAAGUACCAAUUUGUUUUAUUAAAAAGAACGACAAUAAAAAAAUACGAAUAAG